CACACAUAACAUAGGGGAAUAAAAAGGACACUGAUCACAAAUAGCACCCAUGGUUAUACAACCCCCCUGGCCUCCCACCCGUUUGUUUACAGCUGUCAGAAUCUGACAUGGAAUUUUCUCACAGCUAAACAAAAAUAUGGUAUGAUGUCAUCAGAAGACUGCUCCCUAGACAGUGUUCGUUACACAGCUACUUGAAAACGACAUUUCCAUUCGCCAAAAGCCUAGCUUGUACAUUCAGAGGACCUUUUCAACAUACAUAAGGGUGGAGAAAUAACAAACACCUUACAGUGCAUAUCAGAGAGGUUGUAAGAGGCAGGGUCAAUCUUUGCCUUCUGUAAAGUUUCAAUCCUUCUUGGAAUGCAGUCAAACAAGUCAAGAACUGUUUGUAGUAGGAUAUCACAUCAUUCUUAAACAAGGCUCCAGUACUUUAACUCCUUCACAACCAAGUUAUUUUUAUUUAAACAACAGCAUAACAUUUUGUUUAAAUUGUACAUUUUAUGUUGUAUAAAUUGCUGUUUAAGGAUAUUAGGGGUGGGGGCACUAUUUUUUUUUUAAUUCACCAAUUAUUUACAGAUCAUAGGAAACCCUUUUUCUUGCAGGAUUUCAGACAAGGGAUUGUUGGGAAUAAUCUGACAAGCAUGAACGAUCUACAGGAGAAG